CCUUUGUGCUGAGUAGGUUGAUGUUAAAAGCAAUGAGGAACUUCCUCGCCCCCGUGGCCGUGGCCCCCCAACUGGGCACAAAGGAGCUAGGGCCAAAGUCGGGCGCCCACUCGGCCUGCUGGAGCUGUGGGCAAGUUUACCCUGGGAACCGCAAGCAACCACAUAAAUAUAACGACAGAGAAAAGGAAAAACUCGUGAACCCGCACACCAGUGUGACUGUGACGUGGGCGCUGUGUCGGGAUUUCCUUCAGGGGGGACUGGCAUGACAGUGACAGGGGUUACGUGUGCCCUGCACGGCGGCGUGACCGUGACGUGGGUUACGUGUGCCCUGCAUGCUGGCGUGACUGUGACGGGGGUUACGUGUGCCCUGCACGCUGGCGUGACUGUGACCUAUGUCCCUGCCUCAGGAUUUCUUUCCAGGAGAGCUGGGUUGGUGCAGCCUGGGGCUGGGUGUGCACUUUGUCCCGUUUGUCUCUGUUUGUCUCGUAUCAUUUUCUUGAUUUAGUUAAUUUCCCAAAGUGAAAUUAUUCUACUCUAGAA
rnacentral:antisense_RNA from 1 species